rnacentral:rRNA from 1 species
AGAGUGGGAAAAAAGUAUCUCACUCUUCCCAGGUAGAAAAAUAAAAUCCUAGAAAUCCAGCAAAGUUGCUGGAGGUCUCAAAAGGUAAGGGAAAUUAGCACAUUUUGAGAAUUCUCCCUAACAAGGGCGGACCUCCCGGGAUGCGUGUAUUUAUCAGACAAGGACCAAUCCGGGCUUGCCCGGCCGCUUUGGUGACUCUAGAUAACCUUGGGCCGAUCGCAUUUCCCCUUGACCGCGACAAUGCAUUCAGAUGUCUGCCCUAUCAACUUUCGAUGGUACGUUCUGUGCCUACCAUGGUGACCACGGGUAUUGGGGAAUCAGGAUUUGAUUCCGGAGAGGGAGCCUGAGAAACGGCUACCACAUCCAAGGAAGGCAGCAUACGCGCAAAUUACCCACUCCCGACUCUGGGAGGUAGUGAUGAAAAAUAACAAUACAAGACUGUUUCGAGGCACUGUAAUUGGAAUGAGUACACUUUAAAUCUUUUAACGAGUACCCAUUGAAGGGCAAGUCUGGUGCCAGCAGCCGCGGUAAUUCCAGCUCCAAUAGCGUAUAUUAAAGUUGUUGCAGUUAAAAAGCUUGUAGUUGGAUCUUGGGAUCGAGCUGGCGGUCAGCCGCGAGGCGAGCUACCGCCUGUCCCAGCCCCUGUCUCUCGGCGCCCCCUUGAUGCUCUUCACUGAGUGUCAUGGGGGUCCGAAGCGUUUACUUUGAAAAAAUGAGUAUUCAAAGCAGGCCGGUCACCUGAAUUCUUCAGCUAGGAAUAAUGGAAUAGGACUCUGGUUCUAUUUUGUUUGGUUUUCGGAACUGGGGCCAUGAUUAAGAGGGACGGCCGGUGGCCAUUCGUAUUGUGCCGCUAGUGGUGAAAUUCUUGGACUGGCGCAAGACAAACCAAAGGGAAAGCAUUAGCCAAUAAUGAUUUCAUUCAUCAAGAACGAAAGUCUGAGGUUCGAAGAAAAUCCGAUACCAUCGUAGUUCCGACCAUAAACAAUGCCAACUAGCGAUCUGGCAGCGUUAUUCCCAUGACCCGCCGAGCAGCUUCCCGGACACCAAAGUCAAUGGGCUCCGGGGGGAGUAUGGAGACAAAGCUGAAACUUAAAGGAAUUGACGGAAGAGCGCCACCAGGAGUGGAGCCUGUGGCUUAAUUUGACUCAAGACAGAAACCUCACCCGGCCCGGACACUGAAAGGAUUGACACAUUGAUAGCUAUUUCUCAAUUCUGUGGGUGGUGGUGCAUGGCCGUUCUUAGUUGGUGGAGUGAUUUGUCUGGUCAAAAUCGUGACUCCUCCAUGCUAACUAGUUACGCAAACCCCCCCCCAACCUCUUAGAGGUACAAGUGGUGUUCAGCCACACCAGAUUGAGCAAAUAGGUCUGUGAUGCCCUUAGGUGUCCGGCUCUGCAUGCGCGCUACACUGAAGGGAUCAGCGUGUGUCUACCCUUCGCCGACAAGUGUGGCUAACCCGCUGAACCCCUUUUCUGAUAAGGAUUGGGGAUUGCAAUUUUUCAUGAACAAGGAAUUCCCAGUAAGUGUGGGUCAUAAGCUCGUGUUGAUUAGGUUCCUGCCCUUUGUACACACCGCCCGUUGCUACUACCGAUUGGAUGGUUUAGUGAGGUCCUCGAUUGGCCCUGCCGGGGUCGGCAACGGCCCUGGCGGAGCAGCGAAAAGACCCUCUAGAAGAAGUAACAGUCAUACGGUUGGGUUAACCUGCCGGAUACAUCCCCC